AAGCUGCCUGAAUCCUGAUGUCCACUGAGACCUUUGGUAGAAGUGCACGUGGGCAGAGACAUCCAGAUAUCACAGACCUGGACAGCAGCCUUUACCCCUUGGCCAGAGCAACAUCAGCAAGGCAGGCAGUGUAUAUCUGGGCCCAGAGGGUGUGUGUGGUUUACUGAAGAGAUGCACAGCUGGUGGCUGCAUCUGCAGAGCUGAGAACAACUGGAUCUUGUUCACACUCGGGCAGAGGAAGACUCCUGGGAUGAAGCCACACCUCCUUCCAACCUGACGCAGACAAGGAGCUGAAAGGAGAUCUCUGCUGCUGCCAUGAGCACAAAAGACCUCUGGGACUGCUCAGGUAGUCAGCUGUCUCUUGUCUGGAUAGUUCCUACUUAAGACCCAGAACUGAGAUGCUGCCAACUAUCUGAAUUAACCUAGAGAAGAAUCAAGAAGGGAAUAGAUAAGCAUCCUCAAGUCCCAUGGAGUCCAAGGGGACUUCCCCUACACUGGGGUCUGUCCCCAUCCCCUCCUUUCUGGCCCUCUUCUCUGGAAGCCAUGGCCAAGGUGGUCAGUUUCUCCCUCCCGGUCCCCCAGAUCCUAGCUGAUGACUCAGGAGUGAGGCCAGAAUAGCCCAAGGACAGAGGGGACAGCAGAGGGAGUCCCCGAGACCAGACAGGGCAGGGAGAGGAGGUCCUGCAGCAUCCCUGAAACUUCUCCUGCCCCUCUCUUGUCCGAGCCUCCUCCUGUUCCCAAACCCUGGGGCAUCACCACAGCGGCUGUUUCCUCCAAAUCUCGCCCUGCAGCCUACCCAGCUGCUCUGCAAGGAUCAGCAGACCCUGAACUGAACCCCAGUCUGGCCUUUGUCGUCUCCCCCUCAUGUGACCUGGAGCACA